UGAGGAAUAUUGGUCAAUGGGUGCAAGCCUGAACCAGCCAUCCCGCGUGAAGGACGACUGCCCUAUGGGUUGUAAACUUCUUUUGUAUAGGGAUAAACCUUUCCACGUGUGGAAAGCUGAAGGUACUAUACGAAUAAGCACCGGCUAACUCCGUGCCAGCAGCCGCGGUAAUACGGAGGGUGCAAGCGUUAUCCGGAUUUAUUGGGUUUAAAGGGUCCGUAGGCGGACUUAUAAGUCAGUGGUGAAAGCCUGUCGCUUAACGAUAGAACUGCCAUUGAUACUGUAAGUCUUGAGUAUAUUUGAGGUAGCUGGAAUAAGUAGUGUAGCGGUGAAAUGCAUAGAUAUUACUUAGAACACCAAUUGCGAAGGCAGGUUACCAAGAUAUAACUGACGCUGAGGGACGAAAGCGUGGGGAGCGAACA
rnacentral:rRNA from 1 species